UAGGGAAUCUUCGGCAAUGGGGGGAACCCUGACCGAGCAACGCCGCGUGAGUGAAGAAGGUUUUCGGAUCGUAAAGCUCUGUUGUUAAGGAAGAACGAGUGUGAGAAUGGAAAGUUCAUGCUGUGACGGUACUUAACCAGAAAGGGACGGCUAACUACGUGCCAGCAGCCGCGGUAAUACGUAGGUCCCGAGCGUUGUCCGGAUUUAUUGGGCGUAAAGCGAGCGCAGGCGGUUAGAAAAGUCUGAAGUUAAAGGCAGUGGCUCAACCAUUGUAGGCUUUGGAAACUGUUUAACUUGAGUGCAGAAGGGGAGAGUGGAAUUCCAUGUGUAGCGGUGAAAUGCGUAGAUAUAUGGAGGAACACCGGUGGCGAAAGCGGCUCUCUGGUCUGUAACUGACGCUGAGGUUCGAAAGCGUGGGUAGCAAACAGG
rnacentral:rRNA from 1 species